UGCGUCCAUAAAAAUAGCCGUGUAUGUUUACCUUUUAUAUUUGUGCUAUGUUUUGAAAGAUUUUAAACAAAUUAAACGAUUCCUUCGUGGUAGGAAACAAACUGUUUCCACGAGAAGUGAAAAAAAAAGUUUGGUGCAAACAUGAUAGUUCGAUAAUGAGGAUCCGGAACCAGAAAAGGAAAGAGCUACGCGUAGAUAAGUCGUCUUCAUUCACUCCCGACUGAACGGAUGAUGAAAAGGCCAGGGCUUUUCUGCAGAGACAUCAGUAUCUUCUACUUCCGUGCCCAGCUUCGCUUCACAUCAUAAUCAACAACAGAAGAUUGGCCAACAAAAUAAUAUGAAUAUUUGUAAUCAAAUGAUAAAAAUAAAAUAUUUUAUGAGCAUUAACUUGUUUUUGUUUACUAUCGAAAUGAAGAAAUAAGGUACAAACAUAUACAUAAUUAUUUCAACAAUAUCAUAUUGUUGAAUCAAUCGUAUUCAUACAUUGAAUCAACAAUAUUGUAACAAUUAUUUCAACAAUAAUAUUGUUGUUUUUACAAUAACGCGGCUGGUUGAAUGAUUGUAAAAAC